rnacentral:rRNA from 1 species
AACGAACGCUGGCGGCAUGCCUAACACAUGCAAGUCGAACGAGACCUUCGGGUCUAGUGGCGCACGGGUGCGUAACACGUGGGAAUCUGCCCUUGGGUUCGGAAUAACAGUUGGAACGACUGCUAAUACCGGAUGAUGACGUAAGUCCAAAGAUUUAUCGCCCAAGGAUGAGCCCGCGUCGGAUUAGCUAGUUGGUGGGGUAAAGGCCUACCAAGGCGACGAUCCGUAGCUGGUCUGAGAGGAUGAUCAGCCACACUGGGACUGAGACACGGCCCAGACUCCUA